CUUCUUUCCUCCCGAGUGCUUGCACUCAAUUGGAAAGAGGAGUGGCGGACGGGUGAGUAACACGUGGGUAACCUACCCAUCAGAGGGGGAUAACACUUGGAAACAGGUGCUAAUACCGCAUAACAGUUUAUGCCGCAUGGCAUAAGAGUAAAAGGCGCUUUCGGGUGUCGCUGAUGGAUGGACCCGCGGUGCAUUAGCUAGUUGGUGAGGUAACGGCUCACCAAGGCCACGAUGCAUAGCCGACCUGAGAGGGUGAUCGGCCACACUGGGACUGAGACACGGCCCAGACUCCUACGGGAGGCAGCAGUAGGGAAUCUUCGGCAAUGGACGAAAGUCUGACCGAGCAACGCCGCGUGAGUGAAGAAGGUUUUCGGAUCGUAAAACUCUGUUGUUAGAGAAGAACAAGGACGUUAGUAACUGAACGUCACCUGACGGUAUCUAACCAGAAAGUCACGGCUAACUACGUGCCAGCAGCCGCGGUAAUACGUAGGUGGCAAGCGUUGUCCGGAUUUAUUGGGCGUAAAGCGAGCGCAGGCGGUUUCUUAAGUCUGAUGUGAAAGCCCCCGGCUCAACCGGGGAGGGUCAUUGGAAACUGGGAGACUUGAGUGCAGAAGAGGAGAGUGGAAUUCCAUGUGUAGCGGUGAAAUGCGUAGAUAUAUGGAGGAACACCAGUGGCGAAGGCGGCUCUCUGGUCUGUAACUGA
rnacentral:rRNA from 1 species